rnacentral:rRNA from 1 species
AUUGAACGCUGGCGGCAGGCCUAACACAUGCAAGUCGAGCGGAAACGAGUUAUCUGAACCUUCGGGGAACGAUAACGGCGUCGAGCGGCGGACGGGUGAGUAAUGCCUAGGAAAUUGCCCUGAUGUGGGGGAUAACCAUUGGAAACGAUGGCUAAUACCGCAUGAUGCCUACGGGCCAAAGAGGGGGACCUUCGGGCCUCUCGCGUCAGGAUAUGCCUAGGUGGGAUUAGCUAGUUGGUGAGGUAAGGGCUCACCAAGGCGACGAUCCCUAGCUGGUCUGAGAGGAUGAUCAGCCACACUGGAACUGAGACACGGUCCAGACUCCUACGGGAGGCAGCAGUGGGGAAUAUUGCACAAUGGGCGCAAGCCUGAUGCAGCCAUGCCGCGUGUGUGAAGAAGGCCUUCGGGUUGUAAAGCACUUUCAGUCGUGAGGAAGGUAGUGUAGUUAAUAGCUGCAUUAUUUGACGUUAGCGACAGAAGAAGCAAAGGAGAAAGAAGGGAAAGAAGAAGAAG